AUACGUAGGGGACGAGCGUUGUCCGGAAUUACUGGGCGUAAAGGGCGCGCAGGCGGAUAUUUAAGUCGGCUGUAAAAGGCAUGAGCUCAACUCAUGUAUGCGGUUGAAACUGGGUAUCUAGAGUGCUGGAGAGGUAGGCGGAAUUUCCGGUGUAGCGGGGAAAUGCGUAGAUAUCGGGAAGAACACCAGUGGCGAAGGCGGCUUACUGGCCAGCAACUGACGCUGAGGCGCGAAAGCCAGGGGAGCGAACGGGAUUAGAUACCCCGGUAGUCCUGGCCGUAAACGAUGAAUGCUAGGUGUGGGUGUCGAGAGGCAUCCGUGCCGGAGUUAACGCGAUAAGCAUUCCGCCUGGGGAGUACGAUCGCAAGAUUGAAACUCAAAGGAAUUGACGGGG
rnacentral:rRNA from 1 species